GAGAGCUACAGCUGCCUGCUGUGAACCUCCAUCCUCAUCCAGGCCACUCUCUGGGCAGCCUCCCCUAGAAACCCUGUCCCAAGUCCCCAGGCGAAGCGGAAAAAUACCUGUUUCUACAGACUGCUCAGGAAUUAGGUCGUGAAAUGAAUUUUGGAGAGCAACCGCAUGUGGUGCGGACUGGUGUGGACAGCUUGGGGACUGCCAGUCUGCAGGGCACCUGUGCUUCUGAGAUUACAGGGAGGCGGGCAUCACGCAGAGAUGGAAGCCCAGAGAGAUGGACCGAUCUGCUGUCGGAGUGAGAGGCAAGCUGCUGCUGGGACAGGCCCUCGUGCAAGAUCAUGCGGCCAGCCUGGCCGGCCUAGCAGGUAUGAUGAUCAGAUCCAAGAUUGGGUCACCCCCUUAUUGGACCUCUCACCUCCCCACCGUGACCACAUGUCUUCAAGCCAACUUGCCAGGAAGCUAGCCCCGGUGCGUGCCCCAUCCCUCCGUGACUCCACCUGCCCUGCCCUCCUGCAAGAGAUCCCAGCCCAAGGUUGGCCCUGGGGACAGGCCAUGACAAGCAGGGGGUCAGAG
ensembl:lincRNA